rnacentral:tRNA from 1 species
UGGACUGUGGCUCAGUGGUAGAUUUCACCUAGUGUGGGUGAAGCACUGGGUUCAAUCCUCAGCACUGCAU